rnacentral:rRNA from 1 species
AUGAACGCUAGCUACAGGCUUAACACAUGCAAGUCGAGGGGCAGCAUGGUCUUAGCUUGCUAAGGCCGAUGGCGACCGGCGCACGGGUGAGUAACACGUAUCCAACCUGCCGUCUACUCUUGGACAGCCUUCUGAAAGGAAGAUUAAUACAAGAUGGCAUCAUGAGUCCGCAUGUUCACAUGAUUAAAGGUAUUCCGGUAGACGAUGGGGAUGCGUUCCAUUAGAUAGUAGGCGGGGUAACGGCCCACCUAGUCUUCGAUGGAUAGGGGUUCUGAGAGGAAGGUCCCCCACAUUGGAACUGAGACACGGUCCAAACUCCUACGGGAGGCAGCAGUGAGGAAUAUUGGUCAAUGGGCGAGAGCCUGAACCAGCCAAGUAGCGUGAAGGAUGACUGCCCUAUGGGUUGUAAACUUCUUUUAUAAAGGAAUAAAGUCGGGUAUGGAUACCCGUUUGCAUGUACUUUAUGAAUAAGGAUCGGCUAACUCCGUGCCAGCAGCCGCGGUAAUACGGAGGAUCCGAGCGUUAUCCGGAUUUAUUGGGUUUAAAGGGAGCGUAGAUGGAUGUUUAAGUCAGUUGUGAAAGUUUGCGGCUCAACCGUAAAAUUGCAGUUGAUACUGGAUAUCUUGAGUGCAGUUGAGGCAGGCGGAACUCGUGGUGUAGCGGUGAAAUGCUUAGAUAUCACGAAGAACUCCGAUUGCGAAGGCAGCCUGCUAAGCUGCAACUGACAUUGAGGCUCGAAAGUGUGGGUAUCAAACAGGAUUAGAUACCCUGGUAGUCCACACCGUAAACGAUGGAUACUAGGUGUAGGGGAUAUUAAGUCUUCUGUGCCGUCGCAAACGCAGUAAGUAUCCCACCUGGGGAGUACGGCCGCAAGGUUGAAACUCAAAGGAAUUGACGGGGGCCCGCACAAGCGGUGGAGUAUGUGGUUUAAUUCGAAGCAACGCGAAGAACCUUACCAGGUCUUGACAUCCUACUAACGAGAUAGAGAUAUGUUAGGUGCCCUUCGGGGAAAGUAGAGACAGGUGGUGCAUGGUUGUCGUCAGCUCGUGCCGUGAGGUGUCGGCUUAAGUGCCAUAACGAGCGCAACCCUUGUUGUCAGUUACUAACAGGUUCCGCUGAGGACUCUGACAAGACUGCCAUCGUAAGAUGUGAGGAAGGUGGGGAUGACGUCAAAUCAGCACGGCCCUUACGUCCGGGGCUACACACGUGUUACAAUGGGGGGUACAGAGGGCCGCUACCACGCGAGUGGAUGCCAAUCCCCAAAACCUCUCUCAGUUCGGACUGGAGUCUGCAACCCGACUCCACGAAGCUGGAUUCGCUAGUAAUCGCGCAUCAGCCACGGCGCGGUGAAUACGUUCCCGGGCCUUGUACACACCGCCCGUCAAGCCAUGGGAGCCGGGGGUACCUGAAGUGCGUAACCGCGAGGAGCGCCCUAGGGUAAAACUGGUGACUGGGGCU